rnacentral:rRNA from 1 species
AGUCGAGCGAGCUUGCCUAGAUGAUUUUAGUGCUUGCACUAAAUGAAACUAGAUACAAGCGAGCGGCGGACGGGUGAGUAACACGUGGGUAACCUGCCCAAGAGACUGGGAUAACACCUGGAAACAGAUGCUAAUACCGGAUAACAACACUAGACGCAUGUCUAGAGUUUGAAAGAUGGUUCUGCUAUCACUCUUGGAUGGACCUGCGGUGCAUUAGCUAGUUGGUAAGGUAACGGCUUACCAAGGCAAUGAUGCAUAGCCGAGUUGAGAGACUGAUCGGCCACAUUGGGACUGAGACACGGCCCAAACUCCUACGGGAGGCAGCAGUAGGGAAUCUUCCACAAUGGACGAAAGUCUGAUGGAGCAACGCCACGUGAGUGAAGAAGGGUUUCGGCUCGUAAAGCUCUGUUGGUAGUGAAGAAAGAUAGAGGUAGUAACUGGCCUUUAUUUGACGGUAAUUACUUAGAAAGUCACGGCUAACUACGUGCCAGCAGCCGCGGUAAUACGUAGGUGGCAAGCGUUGUCCGGAUUUAUUGGGCGUAAAGCGAGUGCAGGCGGUUCAAUAAGUCUGAUGUGAAAGCCUUCGGCUCAACCGGAGAAUUGCAUCAGAAACUGUUGAACUUGAGUGCAGAAGAGGAGAGUGGAACUCCAUGUGUAGCGGUGGAAUGCGUAGAUAUAUGGAAGAACACCAGUGGCGAAGGCGGCUCUCUGGUCUGCAACUGACGCUGAGGCUCGAAAGCAUGGGUAGCGAACAGGAUUAGAUACCCUGGUAGUCCAUGCCCUAAACGAUGAGUGCUAAGUGUUGGGAGGUUUC